GAUUGAACGCUGGCGGCAUGCUUUACACAUGCAAGUCGAACGGUAACAGGCCGCAAGGUGCUGACGAGUGGCGAACGGGUGAGUAAUGCAUCGGAACGUGCCCAGUCGUGGGGGAUAACUACUCGAAAGAGUAGCUAAUACCGCAUACGAUCUAUGGAUGAAAGCGGGGGACCGUAAGGCCUCGCGCGAUUGGAGCGGCCGAUGUCAGAUUAGGUAGUUGGUGGGGUAAAGGCUCACCAAGCCAACGAUCUGUAGCUGGUCUGAGAGGACGACCAGCCACACUGGGACUGAGACACGGCCCAGACUCCUACGGGAGGCAGCAGUGGGGAAUUUUGGACAAAGGGCGCAAGCCUGAUCCAGCAAUGCCGCGUGCAGGAAGAAGGCCUUCGGGUUGUAAACUGCUUUUGUACGGAACGAAACGGCUCUGGUUAAUACCCGGGGCUAAUGACGGUACCGUAAGAAUAAGCACCGGCUAACUACGUG
rnacentral:rRNA from 1 species